GCCAGAGCUGGAGGACCUGAGUGGCUCCAGGAAGUCAGAGCUGCUGGUCAAGUCUGGUUAAAUCUGGAGUUUUUUCUUUCCUUUUUUUUUUUUUUUUUUCCUCCCUACCCUCCCUCUCUUGCACACUUCAUCAAUUUCUAAUAUAAAAACCAAACCACUUCCUUAUUUUCAUCAUUUAAUUUUGAACUGGAUGGGAAUUCUCCCUGUGUCCUCAGAAUGAUGGGGGCAGAAAGCUCAUUUAUCAAAGCUCUGCAAUGAACAAAGCCAGAGCAGAGCAGCAUAAGCAUAAUUAACAAGGAAAAAAUGGAGCUUGUGGCUUGAUGUUGAUGGAUACAAAAUGUGCCACAAAGGCAACAAAGCUUUGAGAAUGCUUUGAACAUAAAACCAGUCUCACGGGAUGAACAAUUCCAUGCCAGAGAGUAAAUUCAGGCUAAGAUGGAUAAGCUCAACUAUCAUGAUGGCCAUACAGCUGCAGCAGUGGAGGAUCUAAGAAGCAGUGAUGUUAGCUGUGGCCUUUCUUCACCUACAAAAGAAGGGGAAAGCUGGAGGAGGACAUUCAGGCUUUUCCUCAGUUCUUGCCUAUUGAAGAGAUUCAUAAAUCAAAGGAAAUAAGAUGCUCGGUGGAACCUUGCUGAGUGAUUGGAAAUCCCUAGUUGAAUGCAUAUGGGACUGAAGCAUUUGGGAAACAAAUUUUUGAAGCUGUUACUGUUGAACUGAAAUGGAAUGUUGAAGAGGCUAACUGAAACUGUGAGAAAUGAAUGGAGAAAGAUAGGACAGAAAAUUUCCUGUAACCUUUGGUCACUGCAGAGCAAGUUGAAGACAAUGAUGAUGGGACUUUCAGGAUGCUGCAACAGAGGCGUCUUGCCGACCACCAGAGCACGUGUGCCAUACCACCAGUUUCCAAGUCAUCACAGCCCUCCUCUGAAGACCAUGCUACUUCAUAAUCUCUGCUUCUGCUAGCUAGGUUGAGUUAUUACAGCAGGAAAUGCUAGAAUC
rnacentral:lncRNA from 1 species